GUGCUCACUUAGGCAGCACAUAUACUAAACUUGGAAUGAUACAGAGAAGAUUAGCGUGGCCCCUGUGCAAGGAUGACAUGCAAAUCUGUGAAGUGUUCCAUAUUUUU
rnacentral:snRNA from 1 species